AGAGGUUUGAAUUUUUAACUUCCAAAAUAAAAUGAUGUUCUUUUCUUUUUUCAUCCCUUCCAGUUUUCAAAUGGAACAUGUAUACUCCGUGGAGACCCCUUCUUAUGCGUUGUAUUUAGGAAAAAUACUUGACAAAAUCAAGACAAAUAUUGGCUGAAAUAGGACCUUGUCGUGUUUGGAUUGAUUUGCCUCCAGUUUCGAAGGAUAUUUCCUAGAUUCCAUCCUCGUUUUUGCCAACUUUUAAGAAGAUUUGUAACUCUUCAGGAAAAAGGAUCCGAGUCCACAAGAAAGUGUUUUACGAACAGUUUGAGGGAAAAAAAUGUCAUAUCAAGCUAGAGUUAGGAUGGCCCGAAGUAUGCAGUUCGAAGAAAAGGCUUCAAAAGAAAGCUACUCGAAAUUCUAAUUUGCCAUUUUCAGAACACAAAAUUGUUGUGGACCUUCAAACCCUCUAUCCGCUCAAAAAUGAAUUGAGCCUUUAAUCCAUGAAUUGCAGCUUAUUGGUUAAACGGUGUAUAGUGUACAGGAAAAGAAAUGCUGCGCACUGAUGGAACAUUAAAGUAAGUGACAUCGUCUACUUU